CGUAGGGUGCAAGCGUUGUCCGGAAUUAUUGGGCGUAAAGAGCUCGUAGGCGGUUUGUCGCGUCUGCUGUGAAAUCCCGAGGCUCAACCUCGGGUCUGCAGUGGGUACGGGCAGACUAGAGUGCGGUAGGGGAGAUUGGAAUUCCUGGUGUAGCGGUGGAAUGCGCAGAUAUCAGGAGGAACACCGAUGGCGAAGGCAGAUCUCUGGGCCGUAACUGACGCUGAGGAGCGAAAGCAUGGGAGCGAACAGGAUU
rnacentral:rRNA from 1 species